ensembl:lncRNA
CAACGGCACCUGCACGGACCUCUUCAAUCUCCUCUCCUGCGCAUGUGGCCCGGGAUGGACGGGUGAACGCUGCCAGGAGAACGUUGAUGAGUGCGGCUGGCAGCCCUGUGUCCGCGGGACAUGCUGGGACGUGGCGGGGGACUAUGAGUGCCAGUGCAUCCCCGGAUAUACUGGGAAGAACUGCCAGCUGGAGGUGCCUGAGUGCCAGGAGCAUCGCUGUGAGAACGGAGGCUCAUGUGUGGCUGCGGUUACAGGAUACACCUGCGUCUGUCCACCUGAUCACACCGGACCAUUCUGCCAAUGGCGUUUUCCUCCUCGGCAGUGUGAUGUGGAUUUACAGUGUGAACAUGGAGGCGUUUGCACUGAUGGAUCGUGGGGAGCCAACUGUACCUGCAGACCGGGCUUCACCGGAGACAGAUGUGAAGUGGACGUAGACGAGUGUGAGUCGGACCCGUGUCGUAAUGGAGGCACGUGUGUGAACAGACACAAUCACUACCUUUGUGAGUGUGUGUCUGACUUCAGCGGAGAAAACUGUGAGGAUACGGUAAGUUCUUUGGUCUUGUUUAUUCGGCUGCUCAGUCCUUGUGUCCUUUUGUUUCAUCCAUGCUCUAAAGCCAAAAGAUUUUUUUUUCUGUUUAAA